rnacentral:rRNA from 1 species
GACGAACGCUGGCGGCGUGCUUAACACAUGCAGGUCGAACGGAAAGGCCCUGCUUUUGUGGGGUGCUCGAGUGGCGAACGGGUGAGUAACACGUGAGUAACCUGCCCUUGACUUUGGGGUAACUUCAGGAAACUGGGGCUAAUACCGGAUAGGAGCUCCUGCUGCAUGGUGGGGGUUGGAAAGUUUCGGCGGUUGGGGAUGGACUCGCGGCUUAUCAGCUUGUUGGUGGGGUAGUGGCUUACCAAGGCUUUGACGGGUAGCCGGCCUGAGAGGGUGACCGGCCACAUUGGGACUGAGAUACGGCCCAGACUCCUACGGGAGGCAGCAGUGGGGAAUAUUGCACAAUGGGCGGAAGCCUGAUGCAGCAACGCCGCGUGCGGGAUGACGGCCUUCGGGUUGUAAACCGCUUUCGCCUGUGACGAAGCGUGAGUGACGGUAAUGGGUAAAGAAGCACCGGCUAACUACGUG